rnacentral:rRNA from 1 species
CAUUUGAAAUUAAAAGCUCCGGCGGUUAAAGAUGAGUAUGCGUCUGAUUAGCUAGUUGGUGAGGUAACGGCUCACCAAGGCGACGAUCAGUAGGGGAUCUGAGAGGAUUAACCCCCACACGGAUACUGAGACACGGAUCCGACUCCUACGGGAGGCAGCAGUAAGGAAUAUUGGACAAUGCCCGCAAGGGUGAUCCAGCCAUGCCGCGUGCAGGAAGACGGCCCUAUGGGUUGUAAACUGCUUUUACACCGGAGAAAACCCCCCUACGUGUAGGGGGCUGAUAGUAUGGUGAGAAUAAGCAUCGGCUAACUUCGUGCCAGCAGCCGCGGUAAGACGAAGGAUGCAAGCGUUAUCCGGAUUCAUUGGGUUUAAAGGGAGCGUAGGUGGACUGAUAAGUCAGUGGUGAAAUCUCCGAGCUUAACUCGGAAAUUGCCAUUGAUACUGUUGGCCUUGAGUAUAGUUGCCGUUGGCGGAAUAUGACAUGUAGUGGUGAAAUACAUAGAGAUGUCAUAGAACACCGAUUGCGAAGGCAGCUGACGAAACUAUAACUGACACUGAGGCUCGAAAGUGUGGGGAUCAAACAGGAUUAGAUACCCUGGUAGUCCACACUGUAAACGAUGAUUACUCGCUGCUAGAGGGCAACUUUUAGUGGCUUAGCGAAAGCGAUAAGUAAUCCACCUGGGGAGUACGCCGGCAACGGUGAAACUCAAAGGAAUUGACGGGGGCCCGCACAAGCGGAGGAGCAUGUGGUUUAAUUCGAUGAUACGCGAGGAACCUUACCAGGGCUUGAAAGUUAGGGAAUAAGUCUGAAAGGAUUUAGUCAGCAAUGACCCGAAACUAGGUGCUGCAUGGCUGUCGUCAGCUCGUGCCGUGAGGUGUUGGGUUAAGUCCCGCAACGAGCGCAACCCCUACCAAUAGUUGCCAGCGGUUCGGCCGGGGACUCUAUUGGAACUGCCCGCGCAAGCGGUGAGGAAGGUGGGGAUGACGUCAAGUCAUCACGGCCCUUACGUCCUGGGCUACACACGUGCUACAAUGGCUAUUACAGAGGGCAGCUACAUGGUAACAAGCUGCUAAUCUCAAAAAUCCUAUCUCAGCUCGGAUUGAGGGCUGCAACUCGCCCUCAUGAAGCUGGAAUCGCUAGUAAUCGUAUAUCAGCAAUGAUACGGUGAAUACGUUCCCGGACCUUGUACACACCGCCCGUCAAGCC